rnacentral:rRNA from 1 species
GAGUUUGAUCCUGGCUCAGGAUGAACGCUGGCGGCGUGCCUAAUACAUGCAAGUCGAGCGAACAGACGAGGAGCUUGCUCCUCUGACGUUAGCGGCGGACGGGUGAGUAACACGUGGAUAACCUACCUAUAAGACUGGGAUAACUUCGGGAAACCGGAGCUAAUACCGAAUAAUAUAUUGAACCGCAUGGUUCAAUAGUGAAAAACGGUUUUGCUGUCACUUAUAGAUGGAUCCGCGCCGCAUUAGCUAGUUGGUAGGGUAACGGCUUACCAAGGCGACGAUGCGUAGCCGACCUGAGAGGGUGAUCGGCCACACUGGAACUGAGACACGGUCCAGACUCCUACGGGAGGCAGCAGUAGGGAAUCUUCCGCAAUGGGCGAAAGCCUGACGGAGCAACGCCGCGUGAGUGAUGAAGGUCUUCGGAUCGUAAAACUCUGUUAUUAGGGAAGAACAAAUGUGUAAGUAACUAUGCACGUCUUGACGGUACCUAAUCAGAAAGCCACGGCUAACUACGUGCCAGCAC